GUCCAGAUAUUUCUCCCAUGUGAUAUUAUAAAGGCAAUGUGCUCUUGACAUUUAUGUAAUUUUUUCUGGUGAAAUUUGCAGGUGAUAAAUGGAUUCUAGCUUUCUCAAACUGGGACCUACCUCACAUGCAUGAUAGACUGCUAGAAUUUGGAUUAUUGGACUGUGGCUGCUGCAGCACAAACUUCCCUCCUAGAGCAGGAAACACUGCUGUGGGUCAAGAACUGGCUGUUCGCUCCUGGCCACAGCACUGAGAAGAGACUGCAAAUUCUGCCUCCUUAUAGCGAGACACUGUUGGGGUUCCCUUUCAAGUACUUAUUUCCUGUGCAGCAGUGUGACCAGGCAAGCCUGGGGCUCCUCCCGCUUGCAAAAAGAUUUGCCUGCUCUGCUCCUUAGGAAAGCUGCUAGGAACCAGGGAAACUGAGUCAUAAAUGUGUGCCCUCUCGUGUUUGCAGCCCUGCCUCUUUCCACCACUGGAGUAAUAAGGAUCAGAUGACAGUGUGAAUCAGCAGAAAGGUGCGACAUUUGCUGCCGGAAGUCCUAGCCACUAAUUUAUUUCAGGAGAAAGGAAAGAGUUCCCAUGCUAUAAGGAAAUAGCACCUUUAAAACAAAAUUGGGAACACAGUAACUAUACGUCAGUAGGCUUUUAUGAUUUAUUUUCUUCUUUUGGGGGGAGGGAAGAGAAAAUUUAGGAACUCUAUAGUUUCACCACACUAUGUGACUAUACUGGUGUAUCUCUGAUCACGUUGUACUGUCAAUGAGGCACUUUCGAAGCUGCUUUCUUUUCCUUAAUAAAUCGUGUGAGUUAUUUAAUCGUAAAAA